CAGGCGGUUCAUUGUGUUAUAGUAGCGUCCACAUUGGCACAGCAGCUGGUUCCUUGGGCCGUGCCGCACGAAAUCUAAGAAGCAAUAGAUGAUGCCAGAGAUGAGACUUUGCUGGAUGAAUACACAAAUUCGUUUGGAUUAACAGUUUGUCUCUUUUAUUAUUGAGUUUAUUACUCAGCCAGACCUUAGCAACAAUCCACAGCAGCAGCAGCAGCAGCAGCAGCGGACCCUACAAAAAAGAAAUUCAUAUUAAUAAUAAUUCACAAAAAUAUUCAAAAUAUAAAAAACAAUAGAUACUUGUACAAAUAAUAAUAAGUAAAUAGUGCAAGACGCAUAAAUUGUAAACAUUUAUUAAUUUAUUUAUUAUCAUAUACAAUUUUAAAUAUGUAUAUAAGACGAUUGUUUUUUUUUAUUAUUAAUUUUUUAAAAAUUAC